GACGAACGCUGGCGGCGUGCCUAAUACAUGCAAGUAGAACGCUGAAGGAGGAGCUUGCUUCUCUGGAUGAGUUGCGAACGGGUGAGUAACGCGUAGGUAACCUGCCUGGUAGCGGGGGAUAACUAUUGGAAACGAUAGCUAAUACCGCAUAAGAGUAGAUGUCGCAUGACAUUUGCUUAAAAGGUGCAAUUGCAUCACUACCAGAUGGACCUUCGUUGUAUUAGCUAGUUGGUGAGGUAACGGCUCACCAAGGCGACGAUACAUAGCCUAGCUGAUUGGGGGAUCGGCCACACUGGGACUGAGACACGGCCCAGACUUCGACGGGAAGCAGCAGUAGGGAAUCUUCGGCAAUGGACGGAAGUCUGACCGAGAAACGCCGCGUGAGUGAAGAAGGUUUUCGGAUAGUAAAGCUAUGUUGUAAGAGAAGAACGAGUGUGAGAGUGGAAAGUUCACACUGUGACGGUAUCUUAACAGAAAGGGACGGCUAACUACGUG
rnacentral:rRNA from 1 species